UCCGGAUUACAGUAGAUAAUUCACCCCUGAAGCCGCAAAAGAAAAGAACAAAAAAAAGGCGAUUGUUUAUCAAGUGUGAAGUUCUUAUCUAUGGUUAAAGCCUUUUGAUACUCAGGUUAAGCUUUAUUGGCCACAUUUGACAUUUGAAGAUCCAAGAUUGGAAUUCUUGAUUCUAUAUUGAAGUGAGUGUCGUGGAGACACCUAGAAAUUUUUAAGUUAGUCUAAAGUAGGCCAAAUACUUCGACGAGAGUUAUACACCUCGGCCGAUACCACUUUUUACAUGAAUUUUGUUGUUUCGCUGAAGUGAUUUGUAUUUUUUUUUCUUAUAAUUUUCUUUCAUUAGUUUCAUUGUAUUUUUUUUUUAUUAUUGUUCUUUUCAAGUUGGAAAUGUUGUUGCAUACUUCUAAUUUAUGGGGGACUAUUAGAGGUAGUUAAAAUUA